GACGAACGCUGGCGGCGUGCCUAAUACAUGCAAGUUGAGCGCUGAAGGUUGGUACUUGUACCAACUGGAUGAGCAGCGAACGGGUGAGUAACGCGUGGGGAAUCUGCCUUUGAGCGGGGGACAACAUUUGGAAACGAAUGCUAAUACCGCAUAAAAACUUUAAACACAAGUUUUAAGUUUGAAAGAUGCAAUUGCAUCACUCAAAGAUGAUCCCGCGUUGUAUUAGCUAGUUGGUGAGGUAAAGGCUCACCAAGGCGAUGAUACAUAGCCGACCUGAGAGGGUGAUCGGCCACAUUGGGACUGGGACACGGCCCAAACUCCUACGGGAGGCAGCAGUAGGGAAUCCUCGGCAAUGGACGAAAGUCUGACCGAGCAACGCCGCGUGAGUGAAGAAGGUUUUAGGAUCGUAAAACUCUGUUGGUAGAGAAGAACGUUGGUGAGAGUGGAAAGCUCAUCAAGUGACGGUAACUACCCAGAAAGGGACGGCUAACUACGUG
rnacentral:rRNA from 1 species